AGCGAACGCUGGCGGCAGGCUUAACACAUGCAAGUCGAACGCCCGUAGCAAUACGGGAGUGGCAGACGGGUGAGUAACGCGUGGGAACAUGCCCUCUGGUUCGGAAUAACUCAGGGAAACUUGAGCUAAUACCGGAUAAGCCCGAGAGGGGAAAGAUUUAUCGCCGAAGGAUUGGCCCGCGUCCGAUUAGCUAGUUGGUGAGGUAAUGGCUCACCAAGGCGACGAUCGGUAGCUGGUCUGAGAGGAUGAUCAGCCACACUGGGACUGAGACACGGCCCAGACUCCUACGGGAGGCAGCAGUGGGGAAUAUUGGACAAUGGGGGCAACCCUGAUCCAGCCAUGCCGCGUGAGUGAUGAAGGCCCUAGGGUUGUAAAGCUCUUUCGGCGGGGACGAUAAUGACGGUACCCGCAGAAGAAGCCCCGGCUAACUUCGUGCCAGCAGCCGCAGUAACAC
rnacentral:rRNA from 1 species